UACGGAGGGUGCAAGCGUUAUCCGGAUUUACUGGGUUUAAAGGGUGCGUAGGCGGGCCUUUAAGUCAGUGGUGAAAGCUCCGAGCUUAACUCGGAAACUGCCAUUGAUACUGAAGAUCUUGAGUUCGGGAGAGGUGAGUGGAACUGCGAGUGUAGAGGUGAAAUUCGUAGAUAUUCGCAAGAACACCAGUGGCGAAGGCGGCUUACUGGUCCGGUUCUGACGCUGAGGCGCGAAAGCGUGGGGAGCAAACAGG
rnacentral:rRNA from 1 species